rnacentral:rRNA from 1 species
GAUGAACGCUAGCGGCAGGCCUAAUACAUGCACGUCGAACGAUAUUUUCCAGCUUGCUGGGAAAGAAGGUGGCGCACGGGUGCGUAACGCGUAUGCAACCUACCUUUAUCAGGGGGAUAGCCCGGAGAAAUCCGGAUUAAUACCGCAUAAAAUCACAGAACGGCAUUGUUCAAUGAUCAAACAUUUAUGUGAUAAAGAUGGGCAUGCGUGUCAUUAGCUAGUUGGCGGGGUAACGGCCCACCAAGGCGACGAUGACUAGGGGAUCUGAGAGGGUGGCCCCCCACACGAGUACUGAGACACGGACCAGACUCCGACGAGAGGCAGCAGUAAGGAAUAUUGGUCGAUGGAGGCAACUCUGAACCAGCCAUGCCGCGUGCAGGAAGACUGCCCUAUGGGUUGUAAACUGCUGUUAUCCGGGAAUAAACCUCCGAUCGUGAUCGGAGCUGAAUGUACCGGAAGAAUAAGGAUCGGCUAACUCCGUGCCAGCCGCCGCAGUAA